rnacentral:rRNA from 1 species
GACGAACGCUGGCGGCGUGCCUAAUACAUGCAAGUUGAGCGCUGAAGGUUGGUACUUGUACCAACUGGAUGAGCAGCGCACGGGUGAGUAACGCGUGGGGAAUCUGCCUUUGAGCGGGGGACAACAUUUGGAAACGAAUGCUAAUACCGCAUAAAAACUUUAAACACAAGUUUUAAGUUUGAAAGAUGCAAUUGCAUCACUCAAAGAUGAUCCCGCGUUGUAUUAGCUAGUUGGUGAGGUAAAGGCUCACCAAGGCGAUGAUACAUAGCCGACCUGAGAGGGUGAUCGGCCACAUUGGGACUGAGACACGGCCCAAACUCCUACGGGAGGCAGCAGUAGGGAAGCUUCGGCAAUGGACGAAAGUCUGACCGAGCAACGCCGCGUGAGUGAAGAAGGGUUUCGGAUCGUAAAACUCUGUUGGUAGAGAAGAACGUUGGUGAGAGUGGAAAGCUCAUCAAGUGACGGUAACUACCCAGAAAGGGACGGCUAACUACGUG